ensembl:lncRNA
CCUGGUUGUGAGGGCUGGUGUGUAUUUACACACGCUCGCAUAGAGGCUGAAUAUACUGCCAGAAAUAUGCAUGCAGUAACUCCAGCUUUACAGUGGGAUGUUGAUUUAAUUUUCCUCUUACACAAAUCUGAGAGCAGUUUGUUUAAUAGAGGCUUUCAGAAAGCCCUGUAAGGUAGGGUGUUAUUAUGCCUGUUUUAAGCAGGAGGAAGAGAAGCAGAGGACAAAUCCUGCCGAGAAUAAUAUUCUCUUGUAUUCUAGGAAGUAGUGAAUGAGGACGGGGAAAGGUUUGCUGGCACACAGAGGAAAAUCACACCGUUUCAGGCAAGGCAGAACAAUGGUUCUCACCGAUGCCGUGUGCUGUUGGGAAGUGAACGUGAUCACGGAGGAAACAGAUUUUUGUUUAAGAAAAGCCCACCCUAUCUCUGCUGAGUCCGAAUCUGGCUUAUUAAGUCCUAUGGGAAAGAAUGCUGUCACAAAGAGCCCAGCUGAACUGUGUCUUAUCAUCAAUAAAUCCGUUUUUGUCCAUUGCUGUGCCAGGGCACCCAGGCAGAAGGGAAAGACCGCAUGGGGACGGAUGGUGCACCUCUGCUCUGAGCGGUGCUGUGCUGGAAUACAGGAGAAAAACCUCCAGGAUCUCUGACUUAGGGGCUCUGAUGGGGAGAAGUCCAAUCGCUGACCUCCCGCAGAGGCUGUCUGAUAAGCUUGUCUGUCCCUCAUACCUACCCAGGCACUUUGCUGACAGCACACGAUGCUCUUAGAGGAAUUCUCCAGAACUUCUGCCCGCGGCCAUAAAUGCGGUUACCUGUUGAUCCCUUUCCCCUCCGCAGCACAGAAAGGCGAGCUGCCUCGUCCUAUGGGAGCUGGUUUGGUGCCUUGGAAAGGAGCUGUGGCUGCAGGUGUUGCGUGGAAGACGAUUUAGGGAGGACAGCAUUAGGGUUUGCAGCAGAGAUGGGGCUUUGUGAUGCAUACCCCAACCCUCUUGGGAAGGCACAAGAGGAUGGAUGGUGUAACCUCAGCUCAUCGCUGAAGUAACCACCCACAGCUCCGACUGUGUUGGAGAAAACAUUGGUGUUUGGAAUACGUCCUCCAGGUGUCCAGGAGCCUUCAGCCUCCCGGGGUCCCCACCAAAGUGACCCCCACCUCCUCCAGAACACACAGAUGGGGCACAGAGCAGCGGAUUCAGCAGUGCAGCAUCUGGUUUCUGUUCGGUGCUCUGAGAUCACGAACCGCCCCAUCCAAAGCUCAUCCCGUAGGUGCAGCCAUGGGUGCUGGGAUCCCUUCCUGGGUCCGACAGCCCCCGGAGCAUCUCCUCCCUCCACCCCAAAUCAAACGGAACCAAUGGAAUGCAUACAUCCUUUCCAACCAUGCUAACCGCAAUGGUACUAAUUAGCACUCCGCUAAAUGGCCGUGAUUAGUUUAGCAGCUGAUGGAAUAUUUAAUCUAGAAUGUCUCUCUAUUUUGGGGGGGGGGGAAGAAAAAAGCAAACCGAAAAAGCGGGUCGUUUAUUUAUUUCUCUAACAAAUUCCUGCUGCUGGCCAUGCUGAAAACGUGAAUCACGCAGCGGGAGCUGAGACUGGAGUGGCUCUUCUACCGAAGGGAAAAAAAAAAAAAAAGAAAAAGAAAAAGAAAAGCAGAUUAAAGUGCAGGAAACGCAGCUUGUGAGAUGAGGCAGGCGCCUCGCAAAGCCAUUUGCAACACAAAGUUAACGAAUAACGCCGGGCUCGGAGCACGAUAAAUGAACGAGCGCAAAAUAGCAGAGCUUCCCCCUCCAUCGUGCUGAUGGAGCGG